AUUGAACGCUGGCGGAAUGCUUUACACAUGCAAGUCGAACGGUAGAGGGGGCAACCCCUCGAGAGUGGCGAACGGGUGAGUAAUAUAUCGGAACGUGCCCAGUCGUGGGGGAUAACGUAGCGAAAGUUACGCUAAUACCGCAUACGAUCUAAGGAUGAAAGCGGGGGAUCGCAAGACCUCGCGCGAUUGGAGCGGCCGAUAUCAGAUUAGGUAGUUGGUGGGGUAAAGGCUCACCAAGUAAACGAUCUGUAGCUGGUCUGAGAGGACGACCAGCCACACUGGAACUGAGACACGGUCCAGACUCCUACGGGAGGCAGCAGUGGGGAAUUUUGGACAAUGGACGCAAGUCUGAUCCAGCCAUUCCGCGUGCAGGAUGAAGGCACUCGGGUUGUAAACUGCUUCUGUACGGAACGAAAAGGUCUCUCUUAAUACGGGGGACUCAUGACGGUACCGUAAGAAUAAGCACCGGCUAACUGCGUGCCAGCCGCCGCCGUAA
rnacentral:rRNA from 1 species